UUGGGAAACCUGCAGCCCACCAAUCACACCUCACUCUUUUAUUCCCCUUCAUGCUGCGGCAGGCGAAUUCCUCGGUUCAAGGAGGCCCACCAGGUGGCUGUCUGGGGGUCAUCAAAGGUGACCUGGAAAGCCCUUUUCUGCACUGGAGACAUGACGAUGGAAUAGGGACAACAUCUCUUAACAUCAGGAAGGUUACCAGAGGUGACUUGCUGGGAGAAAAGGUGGAAAAGGAUCUGCUCGGCAGAAGACUCGAGAAGGCACUGGAUCCGGAAUUCAGCCAGGACAGGGAGAGAGCUGGACCUGAUUGGUGAAUCACAGGGAAGCCUUUGAUUUUGUUUGUUUGUUGUUUGUUUGUUUGUUUUUGAGACAGAGUCUCGCUCUGUCACCCAGGCUGGAGUGCAGUGGCACGAUCUUGGCUUACUGCAACCUCCACCUCCCGGGUUCAAGCAAUUCUCCCGCCUCAGCCUCCUGAGUAGCUGGGAUUACAGGCGUGCACACCACGCCCGGCUAAUUUUUGUAUUUUUAGUAGAGACGGGGUUUCACCAUGUUGGUCAGGAUGAUCUUGAACUCCUGACCUCGUGAUCCACCUGCCUUGGCCUCCCAAAGUGCCAGGAUUACAGGCGGGAGCCACCGCACCCAUCUGCAGGCAGCCUUUGUGGCGACGGUCACGGUGGAGAUGAUGAUGGGUGUACAACGAUGGUGGCCGCUAGCUGCUCGUGUUUAAUACCUGCCAAAGCUUCUGCUGGGUCUUCCACAUGCACCGUCACAUACACUACUCGUGCUGAUGUUAUACGGUCAGUAUUAUGAUCCCCAUUUCAGAUAAUAAAACUGAACUUUAGAACCAAAAUGUCCCUUGUGUGAGUUCACUUGUACAUUAAAUGUCAAAAUUGGAAAUAAAAGCCAUUUCCGACUACAGAAUUCAUCCAUUCACCCCUUCAUUACUUACAUCAUAAUUAUUACGUACUAGCAGGCCAGGCGUUGUGCUCAGUGCUAGGGAAAAUACAGUGAGGGAAAAAAGGCAUAAUUCCUGCUUGCGUGGACUUUUUUCUCCCGGGGGCAUGGAGGCAAACAUGAAUAAAAUACCUAUCUAGUCAAAACCUGGUGCUAAGGGUGAGAAAGAGAGUAGGAUGGUGGGUGUUGAGGAUUUGGCCCAGGGCACCUGAUCAGGCCCUUUAGGAGGCUUCUGGGAAGAAGCUGCAUUGAAAAUGGGGAGAGCGUGGGUUAUGGGAUGAAGGAUGGGUUGGGGUGGAGCAUUCCAGGC
rnacentral:lncRNA from 1 species